GGGCAAUUGGUCUAGUGGUAUGAUUUCCGCUUCGCAUGUCGACUAUUCGGUCAUCUUUGUGGAAGGUCACCGGUUCAAUCCCGGUAUUGUCCA